rnacentral:rRNA from 1 species
AAAUUGAAGAGUUUGAUCAUGGCUCAGAUUGAACGCUGGCGGCAGGCCUAACACAUGCAAGUCGAACGGUAACAGGAAGCAGCUUGCUGCUUCGCUGACGAGUGGCGGACGGGUGAGUAAUGUCUGGGAAACUGCCUGAUGGAGGGGGAUAACUACUGGAAACGGUGGCUAAUACCGCAUAACGUCGCAAGACCAAAGAGGGGGACCUUCGGGCCUCUUGCCAUCAGAUGUGCCCAGAUGGGAUUAGCUUGUUGGUGAGGUAACGGCUCACCAAGGCGACGAUCCCUAGCUGGUCUGAGAGGAUGACCAGCCACACUGGAACUGAGACACGGUCCAGACUCCUACGGGAGGCAGCAGUGGGGAAUAUUGCACAAUGGGCGCAAGCCUGAUGCAGCCAUGCCGCGUGUAUGAAGAAGGCCUUCGGGUUGUAAAGUACUUUCAGCGGGGAGGAAGGUGUUGUGGUUAAUAACCGCAGCAAUUGACGUUACCCGCAGAAGAAGCACCGGCUAACUCCGUGCCAGCAGCCGCGGUAAUACGGAGGGUGCAAGCGUUAAUCGGAAUUACUGGGCGUAAAGCGCACGCAGGCGGUCUGUCAAGUCGGAUGUGAAAUCCCCGGGCUCAACCUGGGAACUGCAUUCGAAACUGGCAGGCUUGAGUCUUGUAGAGGGGGGUAGAAUUCCAGGUGUAGCGGUGAAAUGCGUAGAGAUCUGGAGGAAUACCGGUGGCGAAGGCGGCCCCACGGACAAAGACUGACGCUCAGGUGCGAAAGCGUGGGGAGCAAACAGGAUUAGAUACCCCGGUAGUCCACGCCGUAAACGAUGUCUACUUGGAGGUUGUGCCCUUGAGGCGUGGCUUCCGGAGCUAACGCGUUAAGUAGACCGCCUGGGGAGUACGGCCGCAAGGUUAAAACUCAAAUGAAUUGACGGGGGCCCGCACAAGCGGUGGAGCAUGUGGUUUAAUUCGAUGCAACGCGAAGAACCUUACCUGGUCUUGACAUCCACAGAAGAAUCCAGAGAUGGAUUUGUGCCUUCGGGAACUGUGAGACAGGUGCUGCAUGGCUGUCGUCAGCUCGUGUUGUGAAAUGUUGGGUUAAGUCCCGCAACGAGCGCAACCCUUAUCCUUUGUUGCCAGCGAUUAGGUCGGGAACUCAAAGGAGACUGCCAGUGAUAAACUGGAGGAAGGUGGGGAUGACGUCAAGUCAUCAUGGCCCUUACGACCAGGGCUACACACGUGCUACAAUGGCGCAUACAAAGAGAAGCGACCUCGCGAGAGCAAGCGGACCUCAUAAAGUGCGUCGUAGUCCGGAUUGGAGUCUGCAACUCGACUCCAUGAAGUCGGAAUCGCUAGUAAUCGUGGAUCAGAAUGCCACGGUGAAUACGUUCCCGGGCCUUGUACACACCGCCCGUCACACCAUGGGAGUGGGUUGCAAAAGAAGUAGGUAGCUUAACCUUCGGGAGGGCGCUUACCACUUUGUGAUUCAUGACUGGGGUGAAGUCGUAACAAGGUAACCGUAGGGGAACCUGCGGUUGGAUCACCUCCUUACCUUAAAGAA